UCCCUGGAGGACUAGUGGUUAGGCAGCAGCACUCUCACCGCUACGGCCUGGGUUCGAUUCCCAGCCAGGGAA
rnacentral:tRNA from 1 species